CAUUUUCAUCUGUUAGGGCUGUCCAGUGGAGGUGAUGUGUUGGGACAGUGAUGCACGUUUCUUCCCAGCUUCCUGUGCCCAGUGGCAGCAUGUUGGAAAGCCGUCAAACCAGUAUCUUGUGAAAGGCACAGAAAUGAGGAAGCAUUCUGCCGGCAUCCAGAAACCAUUAUCAGAUUCAGCAAAGAACUCAUUUAUGUUCUGACGUGGGACCUUGUUUUCUUCAAUCAGCCUUUGUCAUUAACAUAAAUGAACGUACCAGCCAGCAUUGCUGUGGAAACUAUGCUCUUUCAUCUACUGUAGAUGUGAUUUUAUAUGAAUAUAAAAUAAAAUACAUUAUUUGUAAA